UUUUGUGAGCGGCGGCGGCAGCGACGGUGACACAUCUAGCAGAGGCCGGCGCGAGGAUAUCUGAAAGUCACCGUGAGCACAUCUAGCAGCACAACUUCAAUCUGAGGGAAUGGCUGCUAAGCAAGUUUCAUGGACACCUACCAUGUCAAAGUUCAUGCUGACAUGGCUAAGUGAUUUAGUCUCCAAUGGCAAUAGAACAAGCACUGCCUUCAAGCAAUCACAGUUCAACGCUUGUGCCAUUGCUUUGAAUGAGCAUUUCCAACUUAACUUGAAUGGAGAUCAGAUCAAAAAUCAUAAUAGGACAUGGAAGAGGAAACUUCAGAAAAUAGUGAAACUCAAGGAGUUGAGUGGUGCACUAUGGGAUGAGGACAAGUGUAUGAUUGUUCUUGAUCAUGAGCAUUACACAAAUCAUGUUAAGGCUCACCUAGAGGAUGAACAAUACCUUAACAAGACUAUUACUCAUUAUAAGGAGAUGGUGAAUAUAGCUGGAGGGAGCAUGGCUACAGGGCAAUAUGCAAAAGGCUCAAGUGACCCUCUUGCUAUAGAAGUGGUAAAUCUUGAAGAAGAGAUAGCCAAGAAACCCACUACCCCAAAUGAGGAGGUUGCGCAAUCAACUAAUGUCGGUUCAUCUGGUCCCAAACCAAAGAAAGCCA